AUGCGGUAUGACGGUACCCUUUCGAAUAAGAGGUUGCUAACUCUGUGCCAGCAGCAGCGGUAAUACAGAGACCUCGAGCGUUAUCCGGAUUUACUGGGCGUAAAGCGUCUGUAGGGGGUUUGUUAAGUUCCAAGUAAAAUCUUAAGGCUCAACUUUAAGUUCGCUUGGAAAACUAAUAAACUGGAGUCCAGCAGAGGUGCAUGGAACUUGCGGUGUAGGAGUGAAAUCCGUUGAUAUCGCAAGGAACACCAAAGGCGAAGGCAUUGCACUGGGCUGGUACUGACCCUGAGAGACGAAAGCGUGGGGAGCAAAACGGAUUAGAUACCCGUGUAGUCCACGCCGUAAACGAUGGAUACUAGAUGUUCGGGGAUUCGACCCCCUGGGUGUCACAGCUAACGCGUUAAGUAUCCCGCCUGGGAAGUACGGCCGCAAGGCUAAAACUCAAAGGAAUAGACGGGGAUCCGCACAAGCGGUGGAGCGUCUGGUUUAAUUUGAUAGUAAGCAAUGGACCUCACCAAGGUUUGACAUCCUAUGACAACCCUGGAAACAGGGCUUCCUUCGGGCAUAGUGACAGGUGCUGCAUGGUCGUCGUCAGUUCGUGCCGUGAGGUGUUCCGUUAAGUCGGGAAACGAACGAAACCCUCGUCGCAUGUUACAAAUUUCAUGCGAGACUGCCCGGGUCAACCGGGAGGAAGGCGGGGAUGACGUCAGAUCAGCAUGGCCCUUAUACAUUGGGCUACACAGGCGCUACAAUGGCCGGUACAAAGGGUUGCAAAACCGCGAGGUGAAGCUAAUCCCAUAAAGCCGGUCCAAGUUCGGAUUGGAGGCUGCAACUCGCCUCCAUGAAGUUGGAUCGCUAGUAAUCGUGGAUCAGCCAUACCACGGUGAAUACGUUCCCGGAUCUUGUACUCACCGCCCGUCACACCAAGAGAGUUGGUAGCUCCUGAAGC
rnacentral:rRNA from 1 species